ensembl:snoRNA
CUGGCACUUGCAAAAGUCCACCCCAGGCGGUGGGGCCAGGACCUAGUAGCUGGUGCUGAGAGAAAACUCACAGUUGCAUCCUUGCCCUGGGACUGUGCCAGUGGCAGUGGUCAGCUGCUGGGACCACU